UGGCUCCCGGAUGUUAGCGGCGGACGGGUGAGUAACACGUGGGUAACCUGCCUGUAAGACUGGGAUAACUCCGGGAAACCGGAGCUAAUACCGGAUAGUUCCUUGAACCGCAUGGUUCAAGGAUGAAAGACGGUUUCGGCUGUCACUUACAGAUGGACCCGCGGCGCAUUAGCUAGUUGGUGAGGUAACGGCUCACCAAGGCGACGAUGCGUAGCCGACCUGAGAGGGUGAUCGGCCACACUGGGACUGAGACACGGCCCAGACUCCUACGGGAGGCAGCAGUAGGGAAUCUUCCGCAAUGGACGAAAGUCUGACGGAGCAACGCCGCGUGAGUGAUGAAGGUUUUCGGAUCGUAAAGCUCUGUUGUUAGGGAAGAACAAGUGCAAGAGUAACUGCUUGCACCUUGACGGUACCUAACCAGAAAGCCACGGCUAACUACGUGCCAGCA
rnacentral:rRNA from 1 species